rnacentral:snRNA from 1 species
AUUGAGUUUCCAGAGUCGUACG